ACCACAACAGGUGGAGCCUGCGGUUUAAUCGGACUCAACGCCGGGAAACUCACCAGAUAAGACAGCUGAAUGAUAGUCGGGCUGAAGACUCUACUUGACUAGCUGAGAGGAGGUGCAUGGCCGUCGUCAGUUCGUACUGUGAAGCAUCCUGUUAAGUCAGGCAACGAGCGAGACCCACGCCAACAGUUGCCAGCUCGUCCUCCGGGAUGGUGGGGACACUGUUGGGACCGCCUCUGCUAAGAGGAGGAAGGAAUGGGCAACGGUGGGUCAGCAUGCCCCGAAUUAUCUGGGCUACACGCGGGCUACAAUGGGUGGGACAAUGGGUAUCGACACCGAAAGGUGAAGGCAAUCUCCUAAACCCAUCCGUAGUUCGGAUUGUGGGCUGCAACUCGCCCACAUGAAGCUGGAAUCUGUAGUAAUCGUGUCUCAAAAUGGCACGGUGAAUAUGUCCCUGCUCCUU
rnacentral:rRNA from 1 species